rnacentral:rRNA from 1 species
ACAUGCAAGUCGAACGAACUUAAUCGUUAGUUUACUAAUGAAGCGGUUAGUGGCGGACUGGUGAGUAACACGUAAGCAACCUGCCUAUUAGAGGGGAACAACAGUUAGAAAUGACUGCUAAUACCGCAUAUGCCAUAAGUAUCGCAUGAUACAAGUGGGAAAGGAGCAAUCCGCUAAUAGAUGGGCUUGCGUCUGAUUAGAUAGUUGGUGGGGUAACGGCCUACCAAGUCGACGAUCAGUAGCCGAGUUGAGAGACUCUACGGCCACAUUGGGACUGAGAUACGGCCCAGACUCCUACGGGAGGCAGCAGUCGGGAAUAUUGCGCAAUGGAGGAAACUCUGACGCAGUGACGCCGCGUGCAGGAAGAAGGUUUUCGGAUUGUAAACUGCUUUAGACAGGGAAGAAAAAGACAGUACCUGUAGAAUAAGCUCCGGCUAACUACGUGCCAGCAGCCGCGGUAAUACGUAGGGAGCAAGCGUUAUCCGGAUUUAUUGGGUGUAAAGGGUGCGUAGACGGGAAAAUAAGUUAGUUGUGAAAUCCCCAUGCUUAACAUGGGAACUGCAACUAAAACUGUUUUUCUUGAGUGCUGGAGAGGAAAGUGGAAUUCCUAGUGUAGCGGUGAAAUGCGUAGAUAUUAGGAGGAACACCAGUGGCGAAGGCGACUUUCUGGACAGUAACUGACGUUGAGGCACGAAAGUGUGGGGAGCAAACAGGAUUAGAUACCCUGGUAGUCCACACCGUAAACGAUGGAUACUAGGUGUAGGGUGUGAUAAACGCUCUGUGCCGUCGCAAACGCAGUAAGUAUCCCACCUGGGGAGUACGGCCGCAAGGUUGAAACUCAAAGGAAUUGACGGGGG